AGUGUGUCAGAGGGAGGUGGAAUUCCGCGUGUAGCAGUGAAAUGCGUAGAUAUGCGGAGGAACACCGAUGGCGAAGGCAGCCUCCUGGGAUAACACUGACGCUCAUGCACGAAAGCGUGGGGAGCAAACAGGAUUAGAUACCCUGGUAGUCCACGCCCUAAACGAUGUCAACUAGCUGUUGGGGCCUUCGGGCCUUGGUAGCGCAGCUAACGCG
rnacentral:rRNA from 1 species